rnacentral:lncRNA from 1 species
UACAUGACAAAAGAAAAAAGGUAAAGAUAAAAAAAAAAAAAAUAUGGAGCUUAUGCUGAACUUGGUGUGAAGAAAAGGCAAAUUGACAAAGAAACAAACAGUGUGUGCUGGGUAGGCAGCAAUAGGCAUGGCUUCCAACUUGUAGUAAUUAAUGAGACAUGAGAGAAAGAAGAGAACAUUGUUGGUACUUAGGAAAGAUGAUGAAAACCAAAUAAAUACGCUCAUUCGUCUGCCUCAACCUGCUUCAACUGCUGGUGAUGCUGAUGCUGCACGUCCCUAUUACUUGUCGUGCAAGUCCUCAGUUCACUCCCACCUCUACAGCCUCAGCAUCCACGGACCAUGUCCCCCUAUAAACUCCCUAGCUAGCUAGCUAGCUAGCUACUUUGACAAUAAUUAAUAUAGGAGCAACAUUAUAAUACCAUUUUCUUGUGUGGUUGCAAAAAACUUUCUAAGGGAAAUGAAAUCUUCCAAAUAUACUGGGAUUUUGACCAAUCAAUAUAUUGGCAAUGG